ensembl:misc_RNA Metazoa_SRP Metazoan signal recognition particle RNA
GCCAGGCGUGGUGGCACGUGCCUGUAGUCUCAGCUACUCAGGAGGCUGAGGCUGGAGGAUCUCUUGAGCCCAGGAGUUCUGGGCUGUAGUGCAUGCACUAUGCCGAUCAGGUGUCUGCACUAAGUUCAGCAUCAAUAUGGUGACCUCCCAGAGCAGGGGACCACCAGGUUGCCUAAGGAGGGGUGAACUGGCCCAGGUUGGAAAUGGAGCAGGUCAAAACUCCCGUGCUGAUCAGUAGUGGGAUCGCACCUGUGAAUAGCCACUGCACUCCAGCCUGGGCAACAUAGCGAGACCCUGUUUCUA